rnacentral:ncRNA from 1 species
AAAUCCCCGUCACCGGACGGGAUAAAGCGUUAAAGUCAUACCUUAGGUCUUAGCGGUAUGAUUUUAGCGCUUAUUUUUUU